rfam:Lucilia cuprina strain LS Scaffold208, whole genome shotgun sequence.
UUGAACUAUGAUACUGCACUAUAUUCGGUCAGACAAUCCGUUAGUGCUCACAAAACGUUCAUAUAUCAAAUGUUCUUCGAUGAGCUUGAAUGGUUGAGUAACAAUUCAGGAACAGAUACGGAACAUACAAGU